GACGAACGCUGGCGGCGUGCUUAACACAUGCAAGUAGAACGCUGAAGGCAGGAUCUUGCUCUUUCCGGAUGAGUUGCGAACGGGUGAGUAACGCGUAGGUAACCUGCCUGGUAGCGGGGGAUAACUAUUGGAAACGAUAGCUAAUACCGCAUAACAGUAGAUGUUGCAUGAUAUCUACUUAAAAGGUGCAAUUGCACCACUACCAGAUGGACCUGCGUUGUAUUAGCUAGUUGGUGAGGUAACGGCUCACCAAGGCGACGAUACAUAGCCGACCGGAGAGGGUGGUCGGCGGCACUGGGAGGGGGACAGGGCCCAUACGCCUGCGGGAGGCAGCAGUAGGGAAUCGGCGGCAAUGGACGGGAGUCUGGCCGAGCGAGGCGGAGUCAGAGACGAAGACGUUCGGUUCGUGAAGCUCGGUUGUAAGUUGUGAACGGGUGUGGGAGUGGAAGGAGCACUGUGUGACGGUAUCGUGCAAAGAAGGGACGGCUAACUACGUG
rnacentral:rRNA from 1 species